rnacentral:lncRNA from 1 species
GCUGGAUGCGCAUAUCAAACCUUUCCUGGGAAAGUCUGAGCAAAGACAGCUUAGCGCAGGGAGAAUAAACUAUAUUCUAUUAGUUGCACUGUCACAGCUAUUAUGAUCUAGUGUAUGAGCAAGGAGGGCCUUUAGAUAAAGACACUGUCCAUUAUAUCCACGUUGCUGUGAAUGCUCCAGCAGAGCUGUUGGAAAUUUAGACAUUAUUACUGAACAUUUUUAGCAUUGUGUUUACCCUGAUCAUGUAUUUUUAUACCACCUGUAAAAUGACUCAGUUUGUUCUUUUCAAGGAAGAAAUAGGAAGAUUUUCCCUUCUCUGAAUCUAGCAUGGCAUUCCCCAUGUCCAAAUCUUCUCGGUAUUAGUGAGGUCUCAGUAUAGUGUUGAUACUGACAGCAAAUGUGAAGCUGAGUGCUGUUUGGCUGUUAAAGAUCCCAGCAGGCUACUUGGAGGAGUGAUAGUGUUAGCCUGGGGAUCAGUCAGUACUACCUCUAACACCUCUUUCAUCUCUUUCCCUCACAAAUGUUUCCCUUGGCAGCAUUACUUACAAAAGAACGUGUCAAAAAACAGUCAAGCAAACUGCAAACAGUGUAGGCAUGGCCUAACAGAACCUUCCAGGCUUUGACCCAGCUCCUCUUUUUUCACUACCUGCUCAUUCAGCGCCUCUUGGUACAACUCAGAGUGUGGGACUUGUUCCCAUUGCCAGGACCUGAGGAUACCCAGGACCUUCCUCUCAAGCUGCUGAGGAUCCUGGUGCUGAUCCACACAUGGGCUGUACGCACUUUGGCCUUUCCUGCCCAGCUGCUAGCACUGCAAGGCAGGCCCAGAAUGUAGCCCAGCACUCAGAAAUGUUAAACUUGGCACAGAGACCUCUGGCCACUUCUAUUUUGAAAACCAGUGGAAACAGCAGUAUCUGAGGAGGGUACAACAGGUGUUUCUGCAGCUCCGAAGUAUUUCAAUUUAAUUAUACAGCCAGGGAUGGCGAGGCUCGUAAAGUUCCUGUGUUUGCACCUUUGCUCUUACACUUGCUUAGAAAUGCUGCAGCUGCAGAAAGCUUUAAGAAAAUCUUUUCACCUUAUAAAACCUGGAAUAUCAAACCGUGGCAGGGUAUCUAAAAGGUGGGGCUCUGGUGUAAGGUAACAGAUCUGGAAAAUCUAUUUUAAGUUAUAUAAAUAGCCAAUAUCAAAUAUCAAGAAGAGGAUACUACAUGUGGACAUGUACACGUGCAUAUUUACAUGUGUUUGCUUCUUGAAAAGGGCUUCUUAUGUGCCAAAAGUUUCCUAAUAAAACAUAUCUGUUUUUCCCA